UUGGGGGAAACCCUGACGCAGCGACGCCGCGUGAGUGAGGAAGGUUUUCGGAUCGUAAAGCUCUGUCAGAAGGGAAGAAGUGUUAUAUGUUUAAUACGCAUAUAAUUUGACGGUACCUUCAGAGGAAGCACCGGCUAACUCCGUG
rnacentral:rRNA from 1 species